rnacentral:misc_RNA from 1 species
GAUGAAGAACGCAGCAAAAUGCGAUAAGUAAUGUGAAUUGCAGAAUUCAGUGAAUCAUCGAAUCUUUGAACGCACAUUGCGCCCGCUGGUAUUCCGGCGGGCAUGCCUGUUCGAGCGUCAUUUCAACCCUCAAGCCCCCGGGUUUGGUGAUGGGGAUCGGCUCUGCCCUUCUGGGCGGUGCCGCCCCCGAAAUACAUUGGCGGUCUCGCUGCAGCCUCCAUUGCGUAGUAGCUAACACCUCGCAACUGGAACGCGGCGCGGCCAUGCCGUAAAACCCCAACUUCUGAAUGUUGACCUCGGAUCAGGUAGGAAUACCCGCUGAACUUAAGCAUAUCAAUAAGCGGAGGA